UUCCAGACUCCUACGGGAGGCAGCAGUGGGGAAUAUUGCACAAUGGGGGGAACCCUGAUGCAGCGACGCCGCGUGAAGGAAGAAGUAUCUCGGUAUGUAAACUUCUAUCAGCAGGGAAGAAAAUGACGGUACCUGACUAAGAAGCCCCGGCUAACUACGUGCCAGCAGCCGCGGUAAUACGUAGGGGGCAAGCGUUAUCCGGAUUUACUGGGUGUAAAGGGAGCGUAGACGGUAUGGCAAGUCUGAUGUGAAAACCCGGGGCUCAACCCCGGGACUGCAUUGGAAACUGUCGGACUAGAGUGUCGGAGAGGCAAGUGGAAUUCCUAGUGUAGCGGUGAAAUGCGUAGAUAUUAGGAGGAACACCAGUGGCGAAGGCGGCUUGCUGAACGAUGACUGACGUUGAGGCUCGAAAGCGUGGGGAGCAAACAGGAUUAGAUACCCUGGUAAA
rnacentral:rRNA from 1 species